GGACCCAUAGCUCAGUUGGUCAGAGCACCACGUUUACACCGUGGGUGUCGGCGGUUCGAGUCCGUCUGGGUCCACCG
rnacentral:tRNA from 2 species